CAGAGUUUUGUUUUCGAAGGUAUGUCAUAGAUCUAGAUUAUGUCUUGGUGAGAGUUUUUAACAGUGAUUUGCAAGGAGGAACAUGUCCUUCAUGGGUUUGGGUUAGUUUGUUUCCUGGGUUUUUGGGUUUGGCUUCAUGGUAUGAGUAUCUGUUGCUUGUGCUUGUGAGUUGUUUAGUGUCUACUGUUUGAUCAACUUGGUUGCUAUGUGUUGAUAGAGAAAAUUACUUGUUUUGGCUAUUUGGUAUCUCUGGACUUGCUCAGUGAGCUCUACAAUAGCCUCAUUUCUUCAGCUUUCAAAACUGUGCUGCAUGUUUGUUGAGAUUAUGAAUGGUCUGAGCUUGGGAGGUGCUAAUCUGAAAUGGGCAAUGUUUGGUGCCCAUUGGAAAGCUAACCUUGUUAACUAGGUUGAAUCUCAAGUUCAACUUCUCAAGCGAAAGUAAGCAAAGAGGUGAUCAGCGGCAUCUGCAUUUUUUAUUCUUCUCUGUUUAUCCUAAGGUUCAAAGGUUAGUAAGAUUAUGAAAGUAAAUUAGUUUGAUUUAGUUAAGAGUGAAUCAGUUUGAUUUAUUUAUUUUUUGGGUUUGGUUUAAUUGUAAA
rnacentral:misc_RNA from 1 species